rnacentral:rRNA from 1 species
AGAGUUUGAUCCUGGCUCAGGAUGAACGCUGGCGGCGUGCCUAAUACAUGCAAGUCGAGCGGCAGCACGGUCUUCGGACUGGUGGCGAGCGGCGGACGGCUGAGUAACGCGUAGGAAUAUACCCCAAAGUGAGGGAUAACUGCCCGAAAGGGUGGCUAAUACCGCAUGUGGUCUUCGGACUAAAGCCUUCGGGCGCUUUGGGAAUAGCCUGCGUAAGAUUAGCUAGUUGGUGAGGUAAUGGCUCACCAAGGCGACGAUCUUUAGCUGGUCUGAGAGGAUGACCAGCCAGACUGGAACUGAGACACGGUCCAGACUCCUACGGGAGGUAGCAGUAGGGAAUUUUCCACAAUGGGCGAAAGCCUGAUGGAGCAACGCCGCGUGCAGGAUGAAGGCCCUCGGGUCGUAAACUGCUUUUAUGUGCGAAGAAUAUGACGGUAACACAUGAAUAAGGGUCGGCUAACUACGUG